rnacentral:misc_RNA from 1 species
AUUAUUGCAUGAUGAUGCGACGUGAAUGCUGUCUGUGUCUGUUGUUAACAAAUGCGCUUGUGUUUAUCAUUUUAUAUAUGUACAUUCAACCUGGGACAAACUUGCCGGCUUUCCACGAAGAUUCAACCAAUUUCUACUUUAAGAUGAAAAAAAUUCAGAAUGGUGUUGAUGGCAGUGAAAAAACGGAAAAUUACCCAGGCAGAUGUGAAGAUGACCUAGAAUUACUCAUAUUAGUUCCAAGUUCGUUGUGGAAUUUUAGGCAUAGGGAGGCCAUCAGAAAAACCUGGGGAAACAAGGAUAGUUCUGAUGCAGAAACACGGCUGUUGUUUUUUACGGGAACAUCACUUUCAAAUGAAACAUUUCAACAAAUGUUUAAGGAUGAACAAGGACAAUUUCAAGAUAUCGUAAAGAAGAUGUGUACUUGAAUGGAAUAUGCCGUGAAAGAAUUGGAGCAGAAGCCAUUCAUCUUUCAGGCUUUGAUCCAGCAAGAAACAGAGGAAAGAUUAAUGGACGAUUUUUUGAGAAACGAAUAACGGGACAUCAUUUUUCUCCCAGGGACAUAAUACUCAUGUGGGAUGAACUUCAGACAGUUUUAAAAUCACCCCGUUCUGUAAAUAAUAAUUGACAAAAUGUUGCUGUAAGGAAUCUUAUGCUUAAAUAAUGGUAUUUAAGCAAUAAAACACGAUCAACAAAAUAAAACUUUGAACAAAAAUGUACGCCCUAGACAUACACAAUCAUAUAUCAUACGGAAGUUGAUAAACAACAAAUAUAAGAAAACGUGGUUGUAAUAAAUCCAAUAUCUAAUAGCUCACCAAAAAAUCUUUACAUCUGCUGCGGACGACAACUUGUCAAUCCGAGGCAGACAAGGAUGACAAUUUUUACUACUCAUGAAUGUCAUACAAAUCUUACCGUGGUCAAAAUGAAGGUAGUUAUGUACUUGUAAGUAGUGGAUAUAUCCAUGCUUGGUCAGGAGGAAGACGGUGUUCAGUACAGUUGCAUAAUCCGUAGCAGGAGGGGCGUAUGUGAUUACUAGAUCAACAAACGGUCCGCCAACCCUGUUAAAGUCACCAUGAUGUACUCAAAUGGAUUCUUUAAUUGUUUAUAACUCGUCAAAAUGCAAAUUUAACGUUGAGCUGAUUGUAUCUUGAUGCUUUCAGUUGACAAGUAAUAAAACGAUACAUUUGGG